AGUGAACGCUGGCGGUAGGCCUAACACAUGCAAGUCGAACGGCAGCACAGGAGAGCUUGCUCUCUGGGUGGCGAGUGGCGGACGGGUGAGGAAUACAUCGGAAUCUACUCUGUCGUGGGGGAUAACGUAGGGAAACUUACGCUAAUACCGCAUACGACCUACGGGUGAAAGCAGGGGAUCUUCGGAACUUGCGCGAUUGAAUGAGCGGAUGUCGGAUUAGCUAGGUGGCGGGGUAAAGGCCCACCAAGGGGACGAUCCGUAGCUGGUCUGAGAGGAUGAGCAGCCACACUGGAACUGAGACACGGUCCAGACUCCUACGGGAGGCAGCAGUGGGGAAUAUUGGACAAUGGGCGCAAGCCUGAUCCAGCCAUACCGCGUGGGUGAAGAAGGCCUUCGGGUUGUAAAGCCCUUUUGUUGGGAAAGAAAUCCAGCUGGCUAAUACCCGGUUGGGAUGACGGUACCCAAAGAAUAAGCACCGGCUAACUUCGUGCCAGCCGCCGCGGUAA
rnacentral:rRNA from 1 species